ACUCCUACGGGAGGCAGCAGUAGGGAAUCUUCGGCAAUGGACGGAAGUCUGACCGAGCAACGCCGCGUGAGUGAAGAAGGUUUUCGGAUCGUAAAGCUCUGUUGUAAGAGAAGAACGAGAGUGAGAGUGGAAAGUUCACACUGUGACGGUAUCUUACCAGAAAGGGACGGCUAACUACGUGCCAGCAGCCGCGGUAAU
rnacentral:rRNA from 1 species